rnacentral:misc_RNA from 1 species
UUUCCGUAGGUGAACCUGCGGAAGGAUCAUUAAAAAAUGUGGUACCAUUUGUUGGUACUAAUUAAUCAUCCUACCCUUUGUGAAUUUGUUUGUAACGAAUUUUUUUAAAUGGGUCUUUCCCUAAGUUGGAUUGUAGUAAAAUACAAAAAGACUUAGGGGAAUGACUUUUUUAAAAGACUUUUUUUUAAAUUAAAACUUUUUGUAUUCAUUUGUCUAAAAUUUAUUUUUAUAAUAUAAAAACAACUUUUGACAAUGGAUCUCUUGGUUCUCGCAACGAUGAAGAACGCAGCAAAAUGCGAUAAGUAGUGUGAAUUGCAGAAUACGUGAAUCAUCGAAUCUUCGAACGCAUAUUGCACUUUUUUAGUUUACUAAAAAAGUAUGUCUGUUUGAGUAUCAGUAAAAUAUUCUCACAAACAAUAUUGUUUUGUGGUAAUGAGUGUUUUACAACGAUAAACAAGUUGUUUCACUUUAAAUUCUUUUUAAUUGAAUUUUUACCAAUUCAUAAAUUAAAAUUGGAUAAAAUUUUCCUUUAACGAGGAAUAACCUAAACAAUUUUAAAUUUUAUGAAUUAAUAAACAUUCAUCAAAGGAAUCUAUACAACAAAUAACUUGAUCUCAAAUCAGAUAAGAGUACCCGCUGAACUUAAGCAUAUCAAUAAGCGGAGGAAAAGAAACUAACAAGGAUUCCCUUAGUAACGGCGAGUGAAGCGGGAAGAGCUCAAAUUUGAAAUCUUCAAGGUUUGACCUUGACGAAUUGUAGUUUAUAGAAGUGUUUUCUGUUGGAGUUUUGGUAAAAGUUCUUUGGAAUAGGACAUCAUAGAGGGUGAGAAUCCCGUAUUUGACCAUGACUUUCCAGCUGUGUGAUACACUUUCAAAGAGUCGGAUUGUUUGGGAAUGCAGUCCAAAAUGGGUGGUAAAUUUCAUCUAAAGCUAAAUAUUGGCGAGAGACCGAUAGCGAACAAGUACCGUGAGGGAAAGAUGAAAAGAACUUUGAAAAGAGAGUUAAACAGUACGUGAAAUUGUCAAAAGGGAAGCGUUUGACACCAGUGUUGUUUUCUCGAAAAUCAAUUUAAUGAGUUCUUGUUUUUAAGUUAUUGUGACUUUAUCAGCGCAUUUCUUAUUUUACUUGACUCAUUGAAUGCACUUUUCGUUUAACAAGUCAACAUCAAUUUCUUUGGUGGUAAAAAGUUUAAAGGAAGGUGGCUUGGACUUCGGUUCAAGUGUUUAUAGCCUUUUUUCUAUGCCAUCGGAGAGAUUGAGGUCUGCAGCGUAGAUCCUUCGGGGUUAGAUACCUUUGUGCUAAGUUAUAGUUUUUUAUAGACAACUUGUUGACUAUAAUUAACCCUGUAAUUUACUCGCUUAGGCUAUUUUACCUACGCUUAGGAUGUUG